UGGGGAAUUUUGGACAAUGGGCGAAAGCCUGAUCCAGCCAUGCCGCGUGAGUGAAGAAGGCCUUCGGGUUGUAAAGCUCUUUUAGUCGGAAAGAAAGAGUUGCAAUGAAUAAUUGUGAUUUAUGACGGUACCGACAGAAAAAGCACCGGCUAACUACGUGCCCGCAGCCGCGGUAAUACGUAGGGUGCGAGCGUUAAUCGGAAUUACUGGGCGUAAAGGGUGCGCAGGCGGUCUUGCAAGUCAGAUGUGAAAGCCCCGGGCUUAACCUGGGAAUUGCGUUUGAAACUACAAGACUAGAGGGCAGCAGAGGGGAGUGGAAUUCCAUGUGUAGCAGUGAAAUGCGUAGAGAUGUGGAAGAACACCGAUGGCGAAGGCAGCUCCCUGGGUUGACACUGACGCUCAUGCACGAAAGCGUGGGGAGCAAACA
rnacentral:rRNA from 1 species